rnacentral:rRNA from 1 species
UGGCGGUAUGCUUAACACAUGCAAGUCGAACGAAAUCUUUAGGGAUUUAGUGGCGGACGGGUGAGUAACGCGUAAGAAUCUACCUUCAGGUCGGGGACAACCACUGGAAACGGUGGCUAAUACCGGAUGUGCCGAGAGGUGAAAGACUUGCUGCCUGGGGAAGAGCUUGCGUCUGAUUAGCUAGUUGGUAGUGUAAGAGACUACCAAGGCGACGAUCAGUAGCUGGUCUGAGAGGAUGAUCAGCCACACUGGGACUGAGACACGGCCCAGACUCCUACGGGAGGCAGCAGUGGGGAAUUUUCCGCAAUGGGCGAAAGCCUGACGGAGCAAUACCGCGUGAGGGAGGAAGGCUCUUGGGUUGUAAACCUCUUUUCUCAGGGAAGAACAGAAUGACGGUACCUGAGGAAUAAGCAUCGGCUAACUCCGUGCCAGCAGCCGCGGUAAUACGGAGGAUGCAAGCGUUAUCCGGAAUGAUUGGGCGUAAAGGGUCCGCAGGUGGCAUUGAAAGUCUGCUGUUAAAGAGUUUGGCUCACCAAAUAAGAGCAGUGGAAACUACAAAGCUAGAGUUUGGUCGGGGCAGAAGGAAUUCCUGGUGUAGCGGUGAAAUGCGUAGAUAUCAGGAAGAACACCAGUGGCGAAGCGUUCUGCUAGGCCGAGACUGACACUGAGGGACGAAAGCUAGGGGAGCGAAUGGGAUUAGAUACCCCAGUAGUCCUAGCCGUAAACGAUGGAUACUAGGCGUAGCUCGUAUCGACCCGAG